AUGCUCAAUUUGAUAGCACAUAUACUAAAAUUGGAACUCUACAGAGAAGGUUAGCAUGGCGCCUGUGCAAGGAUGACACAAAUUCAUGAAGCAUUCCAUAUUUUU